rnacentral:rRNA from 1 species
AGUGAACGCUGGCGGCGUGCCUAAUACAUGCAAGUCGAACGCGAAAGUCCUUCGGGAUGAGUAAAGUGGCGCACGGGUGAGUAAUACAUGGGAACAUGCCCUUGGAUGGGGAAUAACGUUUGGAAACGAACGCUAAUACCGCAUAAUCUCGCGAGAGUAAAGGUGGCGCCGCAAGGGCUACCGUCCAAGGAUUGGCCCAUGUCCCAUUAGCUAGUUGGCGGGGUAAUGGCCCACCAAGGCAACGAUGGGUAACUGGUCUGAGAGGAUGAUCAGUCACACUGGAACUGAGACACGGUCCAGACUCCUACGGGAGGCAGCAGUAGGGAAUAUUGCACAAUGGGGGAAACCCUGAUGCAGCAACGCCGCGUGAGUGAAGAAGGCCCUUGGGUUGUAAAGCUCUUUAGCGUGGGAAGAAGGUAGAUAUGGUGAACAAUCAUGUUUGCUGACGGUACCACGAGAAUAGGCACCGGCUA